CACAAGCAAGCUAGGAGGUAUAUACAUGUUUCUCUUGGCUAUCACCAUGUGAUACUAUUUCUUUGUUGUUUGACAUUCAAUCGCUAUCUUGAUAAAUUUGGAAGGAACUCAAAGCCUCUCAAUCAUGAUAAUACUAUUUCUUAUAAGCAAUACCUUAUAAGAUGCAUUGAUCACUUCAGAAAGAGCUAAGCUUAUAAGAUGCAUUGCUUAUACUGCAUGCACCUUUGUUUGUGAUGUUAGGCGAUUUAAAAUAUUGAAAUAGGAAAUAUUGGCCAAGUCAGACCUCUUACUUUUGCUUCUCAGAUCGGUACCCUGCUCUGUUAGCUUACUGCUAGUAUUACCUCAUAGAAUCAAAUUGGAAGUGAUAAAAUACAGAUUUGAAUGGCAGUCUAUCUAGAUAGCGAUGCUUUGCUCAUUUCCUAAAAUUUUCUCUAUGAGUAGGUCCCUGAUCUUGUUUAUCUUCUGCUCUGGGUUGUGUGAUCUGUACUGUACAUUUGUUCUAUGGAGAACUCUAUCCCGUUAUUUUCUCUGUAUUCUACCCUCAUGGUUCGUAGGGUAACAAGCACAGUAUUUGGAUGAGAUGGCAUUAACUAUUUGUGGCUUAUUUGUAUGCCUAACAAGUUGGGUGAAAAAUGCUCAUUUGGUAAAAAAAAUCUUCAUAGGUAGGUCUUUGAUCUUGUUCAUGUGCUAGUCUGGGUUAGGUGACAAGCUCGUUUUCUUUGCUUAAUAAUAUUAGUAGCUUCACAAAACAUAGUUCUCUAUUUAUUAUCUGUUAUUUUCACUUGUCCAGUUUUCCAUCUGAUGUUCACUUGUCUAGCUUAAUAAUAUUAGCAGCAUCGUAAAACACAGUUCUCUAUAUUGAUAUUCUAUCAUUCUUUUUCUUGAUUGAUGUCUAUUUUGGCAUAAUAUGCUUACUUAGGCCCUGUUAGGCAACAUACCACAACCACAAAUCCUCAACUUGAUCACUCAUAACCAACCGCCAGCUUCCUAGGCAAAAACUCGGUUUGAGGGGAUGAGUAAUAGUUUUCCCCCUAUUGUUUUCCUAUUUAACUAUGUACAUAGAGCAUACAUGGAGCUUUUGAUCACUACAAAACUGUACUGUUGCAAAGGAAAUAUAUACAUAAAUUUUUAAAGUAGCAUGACAAAUAUCGAGAAUCAUGAACAUCCAGUUUUGGACAUGUCAUAGAACAAAGGCCUCACAUUUAGCAUCGUGUUUAUCUUGCUUUCUCAACUUCUUCCUUAUGCUUCCAUAGCUAUAAUCUCCAGCAAUUGCUUCCUCCAGAUUCCCUGUGGUCUCGGUCAAUGGUUGCUUUGAAACUAAAUUACUCUGUAUUGAAUAUUUACAUUGGUUGCUGAAAGUAAAAAUAUGUACUGUGCACCGAAUAUUAACUUGUGGUUAUGUUUUUUAGAAGGGAACAAUAUCGAUGUUAGAAGUAGUAAUAGGAAGCAAUAUUAGCCUAUCCUACAUCCACUAAUGUCACUUAAAUCCCAAAAGCACUUAUAUGCCACUGAUGAAAAAAAACUUUCACUAGUAAGUUGUAACUUGACAUAUUGUUUUGCCAUGGAAUCCUGCUUAUAUUCACUAGGUAUUACUUUGUCUACUUAGAAUUAGCUCUUGGUAUGUUCGGUGUAAAUCAAUUAUGUACGAAUUUUUGGUUUGCGAUAUUUGACCAUGGAUAAUCUUUGUAUGUGCAGGGCAAAUGAUUCUUGCUUGAUCUAAUUAUGUGAUUUUGCUUGCUGUGAUGAUGAAGUGCAACACAUUUAGAAGAGUUUUAUUUAUGCUGAUGAGUUAAAUUGCUACAUGUCAAAAUCUUUAAUUUGUCUCUUCAAAAAUCUGAAACCAGAGCUUCAUUUUGAGUUUCCAAUCUGUUGCAGGUUUCCGAAAGGCACACAGGUUGACGGACGUUUGAAAGACCUUCAAGCCGUUGAAGAUUUGGAAGACCUAUAAUUAAGUUGGUGGGGGUGAUAAUGUCAUAUGCCUUGUUGAACCUGGAGACUUACUCUGCCCAUUUUGGUUGUGUGGCACAUUUAGAAAUAUAUGUACUUCUCCAUUUGUGGCACUACUUCAUUUUGGUUGUGUGGCACAUCUAGAAACAUAUAUGUACUUCUCCAUUUGUGGCACAACCUCCUUAUAUAUGAUUGUUAUAUAUGUUUAUUGAAUCAACUUUAAGGUUUUUGAUGAGGCCUAUAUGUUACUUUGAUUAAUGAAGUGAAUGUAUAAAUUG
rnacentral:lncRNA from 1 species